rnacentral:rRNA from 1 species
GUGGGGAAUAUUGGACAAUGGGCGAAAGCCUGAUCCAGCCAUGCCGCGUGUGUGAAGAAGGUCUUCGGAUUGUAAAGCACUUUAAGUUGGGAGGAAGGGCAGUAAGUUAAUACCUUGCUGUUUUGAGGUUACCGACAGAAUAAGCACCGGCUAACUUAGUGCCAGCAGCAGCGGUAAUACGAAGGGUGCAAGCGUUAAUCGGAAUUACUGGGCGUAAAGCGCGCGUAGGUGGUUUUGUAAGUUGGAGGUGAAAUCCCCGGGCUCAAACUGGGAACUGCCUCCAAAACUGAAUGACUAGAGUACGGUAGAGGGUAGUGGAAUUUCCUGUGUAGCGGUGAAAUGCGUAGAUAUAGGAAGGAACACCAGUGGCGAAGGCGACUACCUGGACUGAUACUGACACUGAGGUGCGAAAGCGUGGGGAGCAAACAGGAUUAGAUACCCUUGUAGUCC